GUUGAUAAGGUUAAGUGAAUAAGGGCGCACGGUGGAUGCCUUGGCACUAGGAGCCGAUGAAGGACGGGACUAACACCGAUAUGCUUUGGGGAGCUGUAAGUAAGCUAUGAUCCAGAGAUUUCCGAAUGGGGGAACCCAAUAUCUUUUAUAGGAUAUUACUUUUCAGUGAAUACAUAGCUGAUUAGAGGUAGACGCAGAGAACUGAAACAUCUUAGUACCUGCAGGAAGAGAAAGAAAAUUCGAUUCCCUGAGUAGCGGCGAGCGAAACGGGAAGAGCCCAAACCAACAAGCUUGCUUGUUGGGGUUGUAGGACUCCAAUAUGGUAGUCUGUUAGUAUAGUUGAAGGAUUUGGAAAAUUCCGCUAAAGAGGGUGAAAGCCCCGUAGACGAAAUGCUGACAACACCUAGGAGGAUCCUGAGUACGGCGGAACACGAGAAAUUCCGUCGGAAUCCGCGGGGACCAUCCCGCAAGGCUAAAUACUCCCUAGUGACCGAUAGUGAACCAGUACCGUGAGGGAAAGGUGAAAAGCACCCCGGAAGGGGAGUGAAAUAGAUCCUGAAACCGUGUGCCUACAACAAGUCAAAGCUCGUUAAUGAGUGAUGGCGUGCCUUUUGUAGAAUGAACCGGCGAGUUACGAUUGCAUGCGAGGUUAAGUCGAAGAGACGGAGCCGCAGCGAAAGCGAGUCUGAAUAGGGCGAAUGAGUAUGUAGUCGUAGACCCGAAACCAUGUGAUCUACCCAUGUCCAGGUUGAAGGUGCGGUAAAACGCACUGGAGGACCGAACCCACGUACGUUGAAAAGUGCGGGGAUGAGGUGUGGGUAGCGGAGAAAUUCCAAACGAACUUGGAGAUAGCUGGUUCUCUCCGAAAUAGCUUUAGGGCUAGCCUCGGAAUUGAGAAUGAUGGAGGUAGAGCACUGUUUGGACUAGGGGCCCAUCUCGGGUUACCGAAUUCAGAUAAACUCCGAAUGCCAUUCAUUUAUAUCCGGGAGUCAGACUGCGAGUGAUAAGAUCCGUAGUCGAAAGGGAAACAGCCCAGACCACCAGCUAAGGUCCCAAAAUAUAUGUUAAGUGGAAAAGGAUGUGGGGUUGCACAGACAACUAGGAUGUUGGCUUAGAAGCAGCCACCAUUUAAAGAGUGCGUAAUAGCUCACUAGUCGAGUGACCCUGCGCCGAAAAUGUACCGGGGCUAAACAUAUUACCGAAGCUGUGGACUACACCAUUAGGUGUAGUGGUAGGAGAGCGUUCUAAGGGCGUUGAAGGUCGAUCGUGAGGACGGCUGGAGCGCUUAGAAGUGAGAAUGCCGGUAUGAGUAGCGAAAGACAGGUGAGAAUCCUGUCCACCGUAUGACUAAGGUUUCCUGGGGAAGGCUCGUCCGCCCAGGGUUAGUCGGGACCUAAGCCGAGGCCGAUAGGCGUAGGCGAUGGACAACAGGUUGAUAUUCCUGUACCAGUUGUUUUUGUUUGAGCAAUGGAGGGACGCAGUAGGCUAAGGAAUGCAUGCGAUUGGAAGUGCAUGUCCAAGCAAUGAGUCUUGAGUAGAGUUAAAUGCUUUACUCUCUAAGGACAAGUUGUGACGGGGAGCGAAAUAAUAGUAGCGAAGUUCCUGAUGUCACACUGCCAAGAAAAGCUUCUAGUGAGAAAACAACUGCCCGUACCGUAAACCGACACAGGUAGUCGAGGAGAGUAUCCUAAGGUGAGCGAGCGAACUCUCGUUAAGGAACUCGGCAAAAUGACCCCGUAACUUCGGGAGAAGGGGUGCUGACGACCGUCAGCCGCAGUGAAUAGGCCCAAGCGACUGUUUAUCAAAAACACAGGUCUCUGCAAAAUCGUAAGAUGAAGUAUAGGGGCUGACGCCUGCCCGGUGCUGGAAGGUUAAGAGGAUGGGUUAGCUUCGGCGAAGCUCAGAAUUGAAGCCCCAGUAAACGGCGGCCGUAACUAUAACGGUCCUAAGGUAGCGAAAUUCCUUGUCGGGUAAGUUCCGACCCGCACGAAAGGCGUAACGAUUUGGGCACUGUCUCAACGAGAGACUCGGUGAAAUUUUAGUACCUGUGAAGAUGCAGGUUACCCGCGACAGGACGGAAAGACCCCAUGGAGCUUUACUGUAGU
rnacentral:rRNA from 1 species